GAGGACGGGUCAGGCCCCUCGGCUCUUGAUAAGAGGCCGGGAGGAAGAAAGCCGCGGCCGGUCAGAGCCGAGGGGCCCGGGCGACUGUUGUACACCGAAGCAGCCCCGAGGGCUCCGCAGGGCCGCGGAUGCGACCGCGGCUGGGUUUGUUAUUGUCGACUCCGUCUCUUCCUCCGAAGAGCAUGUCGGGAAACGGCCGCUGGGGGGAGGGGCGCGCUGGGAUCCUGGGGCUGCGCGGAGAGGCUUCUGCGCAGGUCCGGAAACCUGCGGAGCGCCGGAAAAGGGGCGGCUCCGCCUUCAGCUGCGUCUAGCCGGGCUGUCCUCCCCUGACCCGGGAGCAUUUUGCUGGGCUUGCCUCUUCUGGUACUAGUUGCUGUCUGGGCUCGCGGACUUCACCAAGGUGAGCUUGACCUUCCUUGGUACAGCGAGUAGGCCCGAGCUACUCAGACCCCGCGGAAUUUGGAUCGGCCCCAAGGAAAAAGAGCUCGGUCCUUUCAGCAUGUCGCCGAAGAUCGGGGCCUGCUGAGGGUCCGGUGCCCUCAUUGCCUGUUUCCCGGACCAGACCAAGGCCAGGGACAGCAUAUGGUACCUAGAGGGCUGUGCCUGGUUCAUGCACUCCUACCGCCAGCGCCGCACCUACCCCAACCAUUGCGGCCGCAGACAGUUGGCAAGAGUCCCUGCUAUCUUUGCCAGGGUUGGUCGGUACAGUUUUUGUCAGACCAGCUUCAGCUCUGCCUUGCUGUGAUCCCCAUCAGAGCAGCCUUCUGUAUUUAUUCUCUAGGCUGCUGCAGAGGAUCCUAGGUGGUCAGAGUGGGGAGCUAACAGACAAACAGCUUGAGGAAAAGCAGAGCACCUCACCUCAGGCAGAAGCAGGGUCCCUUCCAUGUGGAGAGGAAUGGUGUGAGCAAGUGUGGCCCAUCAGAGUGGAGCUGUACAGCUGGACAAUAGAUGAGAAGAAUCUGGAAUCUAACUCCAGAGGGAAAGGCGAGCAACCCAGAACCCGGUAAUAUUUACUUGGCAAGCCACUUUUAGAAGGAGUGUAAGACUUAAGUCUCACUUUUACUCCUG